rnacentral:rRNA from 1 species
UGGCUCAGGAUGAACGCUGGCGGCGUGCCUAACACAUGCAAGUCGAACGGUGUAAUGAUUGAAGUUUUCGGACGGAUUUCAUUACAUAGUGGCGGACGGGUGAGUAACGCGUGGAGAACCUGCACUGUACUGGGGGAUAGCAGCUGGAAACGGCUGGUAAUACCGCAUGAGACCACGGGAGGGCAUCCUCCUGAGGCAAAAGAUUUAUCGGUACAGGAUGGAUCCGCGUUUGAUUAGCCAGUUGGCGGGGUAACGGCCCACCAAAGCGACGAUCAAUAGCCGGCCUGAGAGGGCGGACGGCCACAUCGGGACUGAGACACGGCCCAGACUCCUACGGGAGGCAGCAGUGGGGAAUA